rnacentral:rRNA from 1 species
GACGAACGCUGGCGGCGUGCUUAACACAUGCAAGUCGAACGGAAAGGCCCUGCUUUUGUGGGGUGCUCGAGUGGCGAACGGGUGAGUAACACGUGAGUAACCUGCCCUUGACUUUGGGAUAACUUCAGGAAACUGGGGCUAAUACCGGAUAGGAGCUCCUGCUGCAUGGUGGGGGUUGGAAAGUUUCGGCGGUUGGGGAUGGACUCGCGGCUUAUCAGCUUGUUGGUGGGGUAGUGGCUUACCAAGGCUUUGACGGGUAGCCGGCCUGAGAGGGUGACCGGCCACAUUGGGACUGAUUCGGCCCAGACUCCUACGGGAGGCAGCAGUGGGGAAUAUUGCACAAUGGGCGGAAGCCUGAUGCAGCAACGCCGCGUGCGGGAUGACGGCCUUCGGGUUGUAAACCGCUUUCGCCUGUGACGAAGCGUGAGUGACGGUAAUGGGUAAAGAAGCACCGGCUAACUACGUG